rnacentral:rRNA from 1 species
CAGUCGCCGCGGUAAAACGUAGGGUGCAAGCGUUAAUCGGAAUUACUGGGCGUAAAGCGUGCGCAGGCGGUUCGUUAAGACAGAUGUGAAAUCCCCGGGCUUAACCUGGGAACUGCAUUUGUGACUGGCGGGCUAGAGUAUGGCAGAGGGGGGUAGAAUUCCACGUGUAGCAGUGAAAUGCGUAGGGAUGUGGAGGAAUACCGAUGGCGAAGGCAGCCCCCUGGGCCAAUACUGACGCUCAUGCACGAAAGCGUGGGGAGCAAACAGGAUUAGAUACCCCAGUAGUCCCUGUCUCUUAUAC